GACCUAGUGGUGGAAUGUAUCGCGCCCGUGAUCGAUAAUCCGGGACGUGGAACCUUGAUAGCGAGAGGUCCUGGUUCGAAUCCAGGCUGGGUCC